AAGUUGGAUUUUUUUUGAAAUUCCCCAUAGCGGAGGAAAAGAAACCAACAGGGAUUACCUCAGUAACGGCGAGUGAAGCGGUAACAGCUCAAAUUUGAAAGCUAGCUCUUUUAGGGUUCGCAUUGUAAUUUGUAGAAGAUGCUUCGGGUGUGGCCCCGGUCUAAGUUCCUUGGAACAGGACGUCAUAGAGGGUGAGAAUCCCGUAUGUGACUGGGUGCUUUCGCUCAUGUGAAGCUCUUUCGACGAGUCGAGUUGUUUGGGAAUGCAGCUCAAAAUGGGUGGUAAAUUUCAUCUAAAGCUAAAUAUUGGCCAGAGACCGAUAGCGCACAAGUAGAGUGAUCGAAAGAUGAAAAGCACUUUGGAAAGAGAGUUAAACAGUACGUGAAAUUGUUGAAAGGGAAGCGCUUGCAACCAGACUUGCGCGCUGAUGAUCAUCCGGGCUUCUGCCCGGUGCACUCGUCUGCGCUCAGGCCAGCAUCGGUUUCGGUGGUGGGAUAAAGGCCUUGGGAAUGUAGCUCCUCUCGGGGAGUGUUAUAGCCCUCGGUGCAAUGCCGCCUACCGGGACCGAGGACCGCGCUCGGCUAGGAGCAUGCGAUAUCCGGAAGCCGG
rnacentral:rRNA from 1 species